ensembl:snoRNA SNORD69 small nucleolar RNA, C/D box 69
AACAUGAAGCAAAUGAUGAUAAACUGGAUCUGACAGACUGUGUGCUGAGUUUGUUCAAUCCAACCCUGAGCUUCGUGUU